rnacentral:rRNA from 1 species
CCUACGGGUGGCUGCAGUGGGGAAUAUUGCACAAUGGGGGCAACCCUGAUGCAGCGACGCCGCGUGGGUGAAGUAGUAUUUCGGUAUGUAAAGCCCUAUCAGCAGGGAAGAGAAAUUACGGUACCUGAGUCAGAAGCACCGGCUAAAUACGUGCCAGCAGCCGCGGUAAUUCGGAUGGUGCAAGCGUUAUCCGGGUUUACUGGGUGUAAAGGGAGCCCAGGCGGCACGCUUAGCCUGAUGUGAAAUCCCGGGGCCCAACCGCGGAAGGGCAUUUGGAACUGGCGAGCUGGAGUACCGGAGGGGCAGGCGGAAUAACUAGUGUAGCGGUGAAAUGCGUAGAUAUUAGGAGGAACCCCAGUGGCGAAGGCGGCCUGCUGGACGGAGACUGACGCUGAGGCUCGAGAGCGUGGGGAGCAAACAGGAUUAGAUACCCGGGUAGUC